UACGUAGGGCGCAAGCGUUGUCCGGAAUUAUUGGGCGUAAAGAGCUCGUAGGCGGUUUGUCGCGUCUGUCGUGAAAGCUUGGGGCUUAACCCCAAGUCGGCGGUGGAUACGGGCAGACUAGAGGCAGGUAGGGGAGAACGGAAUUUCCGGUGUAGCGGUGAAAUGCGUAGAUAUCGGAAGGAACAUCAGUGGCGAAAGCGGCUUCCUGGACCAGCACCGACGUUCAGGCACGAAAGCGUGGGGAGCAAACAGG
rnacentral:rRNA from 1 species